AUAAAAAAUGAUAUCACCUACGAAGUGAAUCACUUCAACCAAUUUCCUUGGAGUAAACACAACGAAAAUUUAUCGAGGACCCACUCACCUUGACCGCACGUGUAUAUUAUAAUAACUGAAAACACUAACAAUUUACACAACGUAUAAUCGUACAUGAUCAAAACUCAGUAAAUUCACAUCCGCUCCGAAAUGUUCGCACGUGUGUGAAACGAGUGCUGCGCGAUCGGUUUCGCGAUGGGCCUGUGAUAAGGGUUGAUAAGGUGAUAGCGAUAAGGAGACCGCGGCGAGUUCGGGCGCGCUGGCCCGCGCCUCCCUACGUCUUCACAGCUCGACAUCUGCCGCACCUCUACAGUCCACGCCGAGUGAACGCUCAUCAAACACUCAUUCAACUUCGUUGCCGACGAACAUGCGGUGAUUUUAAUUGGAUUUAUGGAUGCCCGAUAUUCGAUACUACUUGUUCUCGCUUUGUCAUGCCUAUGUCCGACAACCAAGAGAUGAUUUUUUUAAAAUGGACUCUAAAAAUGCAGGAUUUUCUCAAUUCGACAGUAUUUUUAUCUGUGCGUGUGUAACUUCAGAACUUUUUUAUAAGUGAACCGAUUUUGAUGAUUCUUUUUAUUUAUUUGAUAGUUAGUGCUUUUGAUGUAGUCCUAAUUAAAUUUUAUUAAGAUCUGAA